rnacentral:rRNA from 1 species
UGGGGAAUAUUGGACAAUGGGCGAAAGCCUGAUCCAGCAAUGCCGCGUGUGUGAAGAAGGCCUUCGGGUUGUAAAGCACUUUCAGUUGGGAGGAAGGGGGAUGUGUUAAUAGUACAUCUCAUUGACGUUACCGACAGAAGAAGCACCGGCUAACUCUGUGCCAGCAGCCGCGGUAAUACAGAGGGUGCUAGCGUUAAUCGGAAUUACUGGGCGUAAAGCGUGUGUAGGUGGUUAGAUAAGUUAGAUGUGAAAACCCUGGGCUUAACCUGGGAACUGCGUUUAAGACUGUUUAGCUAGAGUACUGUAGAGGGUAGUGGAAUUUCCAGUGUAGCGGUGAAAUGCGUAGAUAUUGGAAGGAACACCAGUGGCGAAGGCGACUACCUGGAUAGAUACUGACACU